CUUGGUCAUUUAGAGGAAGUAAAAGUCGUAACAAGGUUUCCGUAGGUGAACCUGCGGAAGGAUCAUUCACAAACGAGUGUUUUAUGGCACUCUUUAAAAAUCCAUAUCCACCUUGUGUGCAAUGUUUGUUGGGAAAGUCUUUUCUUUCCCUUCAUAAAUAUCAACCUAUAUCUUUAACAACAUUCGUCUGAUAACAUAUUAUGAAUAUACUUAAUUCAAAAUAUAACUUUCAACAACGGAUCUCUUGGCUCUCGCAUCGAUGAAGAACGCAGCGAAAUGCGAUACGUAAUGUGAAUUGCAGAAUUCAGUGAAUCAUCGAAUCUUUGAACGCAUAUUGCGCUCUUUGGUAUUCCGAAGAGCAUGCUUGUUUGAGUAUCAGUAAACACCUCAACCUCUCUUUUUUGAUAAAAAAAAGGGAGGGUGGACUUGAGCUAUCCCAACGACCUUCACCGGUAGGCGGGCGGCUUGAAAUGCAGGUGCAGCUGGACUUUUAUCUGAGCUAAAAGCAUAUCUAUUUAGUCCUCGUCAAGCAGGAUUAUUACUUUUGCUGCAGCUAACAUAAAGGAUAAUUGUCCUCUUUGCUGACUGAUGCAGGAUUUUACGACACUUUAUGUGUUGUUCAACUCGAUCUCAAAUCAAGUAAGACUACCCGCUGAACUUAAGCAUAUCAAUAAGCGGAGGAAAAGAAACUAACAAGGAUUCCCCUAGUAACGGCGAGUGAAGCGGGAUGAGCUCAAAUUUGAAAUCUGGCUGGUUUACUAGUCCGAGUUGUAAUUUAAAGAAGCGUUUUCGGUGGCAGCCUGGGUAUAAAUCCUUUGGAAUAGGGUAUCAUAGAGGGUGAGAAUCCCGUCUUUGACCUAGUGCAUGCUACUAUGUGAUACGUUUUCAAAGAGUCGAGUUGUUUGGGAAU
rnacentral:sRNA from 1 species